CACUUUGGUCCACUUAGGAAAUGGUCCUUGCGCCAUCCCUGUCUCCGGCUCCUGCCUUUGUCUGCCCUCCUUCCCCAUCAAUGUCCAGAAUUCUUUUUAACCCAGGAGUGACAAGGAAAUGUCACAAUAUACAUAACUGUCAUCAUUUUGUGUCAUUAUCUGUCUCCUGGGACAAGGCCACUGUAAUACUGUUCAUGGGUCUAAGCCCUGGGGAUCUGCCAUUGAGCAAAGCAGAUCUCCAUCUCUGAUGGUGUUUUAAAGGCUGAGGGGAAGAGACAAACGAUCGAGUGCGAAUUACACCAGUUUUUAGAUGGUGAUCCCUGGAACGGCCAGGCCUAGGGGUUUCUGCUCACUUUUACAUGUGCCUAUGUCGCAAACUCUCAGAUGGUCACCUCUGACAACAAGGUGAUGGCAGAUCCCCCGAUGAUGUCUCUGGAAGAGCCUGGACCACAGAUUCUGGGGCUCUGCACCGGGAGCUCACAUCUCAAGUUGUCCUCUCACAGAACACCACUGGGCUCAAGUUUAACCUCAUCCCUCAGUGAGGCAAUUCUUGCUAAUAAGCACACAUCUCUUUGAAGGCACAUCAAAGGGGUGAAAUGUCGGAGAAUAAACUACCAUCUGCCUUCCUCACGAUACGAUCCGCCCAAGCCUCAACCUUGAACUUAGGAUAAGCCUGGCUAAGUUUUAUAAGACCAGUCAUGCCAAGACUUUCAUACAUCAUAAUCAAGCUUUAACAGAUUCCAUUGGAUGUGUUUUCAUCUGUGACUCACUGUUUGUCUCUUAGUCAUUUUAGAAAAAAAUAAAAU
ensembl:lncRNA